GACACUUAAAUUUCUUUUUAAUGUAGCAGAUAAAUGGUAGAAAUGUAAAAAAAAAGUCAAAAAUUUGCGAAAAAAAAUAAAUAACAUUCUCGGCCAUAGAGAGAUGCCACAUGACCUUGUCUAUGUCUAGCUUUAUAUUUUAUAUAGAUUCAAAUUUCCAUUUUGUGCCACUAACGUAUCCAUUCUUCCAUUUUCUUAAUACAUCAUACCAAUUCAACUUGGAGACGCAAUUCUUUCACUAUAUGGAGAACAAACAGAGAAGAAAAAAUGAAGAUAAUAGUAUGGAUUCCUCUUAGUCACGCAGAUGCCAAAAAAACCCAAAGGUCUUGACGUCUUGUAAUAGUUUAGAGGAAAUGAAAUAUUUCUACGUUAUUUCCUGGCUGGAGCACUUGGAAGAAAGGAGAAUCAAAGAACUGAUAAAAAGGUGGUUGAUUGUGACAAGAGCGGAAAUGCGCGGUGCUUAUCUAGAAGGCCUCCUCCCACUUUAUUUUCGGAACGGAGGUUGAGUCUUAGAAUGUGGUGAGUGUUUUCAGGUUGUUGAUUGUGACAUGUUCGAAAAUACGGGGUGCCUAUCUUGAAGGCCUCCUCCCACUUCAUUCCAGGAUGGAGGAUGAGUCUUAGAAUGUGGUAGUAAUCUGGAUCUUUAGUCGCUUUUGUACUAGUCUAGACCAGGUCGUGAGGAGUCAGAAUGAGUCUGUAAUUAUUUAACUGU